UAUGGCCACAUCACGUGGAAACACUGGUUCUUGUACGAUCACCGAAGAUGAGCAAUGUUGAGCCUAGUCAGUACAUAGAUGGGUGACCGCCUGGGAAUACCAGCUGCUGUAAG